GUUUUUAUAGUGUAAAUUACAUUUUACUUUUUCGUUGUAAAGCUGAAAUAUGAUAUUUCUAAAAACA
rnacentral:tRNA from 1 species